UCAUCCGUAGCUCAGUCGGUAGAGCAUGAGACUCUUAAUCUCAGGUUCAUGGGUUGGAGCCCCACAUUGGGCAAA
rnacentral:tRNA from 1 species